UUGGAAACAGGUCUAGCCCAGGCGCUAGGGAAUAGCCCAGCCCAAGCUGGGCUGCAGGGAGGGAGGGGGCAGUGCUGGAAGGAUGAGAGAGCUCCUCCACCUCCUCAGCCCUGCUGGUGGUGGCCCAUGGUCACCUUCUCCGUAGGCCUGGAGUCCUGCCUGAGUCUCUGGACACUACCCUCUCCUGGGCAGGGCAGUUGGGCUUGUUACGCUUGGCCGCUCCAAGCAGAAACUGAGAAAAGGCAAAACCUGGCAUAGCGGCCAGCCUGGUGGGGUGGUGGCAAGGCAGGAGGGCCAGCUGGCUGCUGAGCUGAAUAGGACUGAUGACUCUGUUUCCCUGGUUGUCCUGUUUGAUGUUAAUCACCAGGCUGAGCAAGCUCUUCAACCAGACACAGCUGGCCCCCAGGGAAAUACGACAAGAGGCCAGGGAGGGUCUAGGUUAUUUGGAGUUAAAGACCUGCAGGACGGGGCAGAGUCAGGGGCAGGGAGUUUGAAGGAGGGGGUCAGAGGGUACAGAGAUGGAAAAAGAUGGUGAUGGAGGUCUCUAGUGAUGGCAGAUGGCAGAUGAAAGGGGAAGCUUGGGGACCAGCUGACCUCCAAGGUUCCUUUCAGCUGGAAAAACUGGUUCCAAGGGACACAGGAGUGAAGAGAUGAACUAACUGCCAGACAGGACCUUCAACAAACCGAAAGAGAGCCUCCCAGUCUCAGAGCUGUGGUCCAGCCACUGGGACACUUGCUGAGAUCCCAUCUAAGAUUUAGGGUCAGAGCUGGCAAGCAGAGAUACCAAAGGACACCAGUCUAGGGAAGGACAAACAGUGAGGUUCAGGCCUGGCAGUGAAGAAACCUCAACUGAGCCACAAUUUGCUGUGUGAUCUUAGAUGGGGAGCCUGAGGCCCAGAGAGGGCAAAGACAUGCUCAAAGUUGCACAGCAAGACAGCCAUGGAAGCAAGUUGGAACCCAGGGUUCUUGACUCUUCCCGAGAUUCCCUGCCCAGAGAGGAAGAAUAUAGAGAGGAAGUCUGUCUACAGCGGCUUUGCAGUGCUGUGUAUGUACCAAUGUGCUGGAGCUGGCUUUCACUGGCUCUUCCCAACUCAGUAUUCAAUGACUUCACACUGCCAGCUUGAGAUGAGCCAUGAUGGGAAUGUCAGCACCACAGAAGUCAGCAGGUGCCGCAGAUGCCCUCCUUUAAGCAGAUCACUCAGCAUUUUCCAGUACACCCUGUACACAACACUAUUUCAGAUCAUCUUAUGUAUUUGUCAGCUUACCGAUCUGCUGUAUGUCUCCUCUACAUGAAGUUUCAUGAGGGCAGGGUCUAUGGCUUGUCAUUUUUGCCACUGUAUCCCUGGUUCCUAGAACAAUGCUUGUUGUAUAGUAGGUAUCCAAUACAUGCUGCUUGAAUGAAUAAAAGUCUGAGGGAAACACUGGAAACACAAGAGAGGAAACUGUUACCUUUGUACCUGAAUACGGAAUAUUUGAGCUGAGGCUUCAACCAUAAAAAAGAGUUUGCUAAGGAGCCAAGGGAGAAAGGACUUCCCAGGCAGAGGGAAUAAAAUGGAGGCAUGAAAGA
rnacentral:lncRNA from 10 species